UGGCGAAACAUGAGUAACCCAUUGGUGGUUUUUAUGGCUCUCAUCUCCCACCUAAAUCACACUUAAUACCCUCUUAACACCAACCCAUUUCCUUAAUUCCCGAGACAUGUGAAUGCUUUAAUAACCAAAACCUCCACAACCAUUAUACAUAUCUUGUUCUACACCCUCACAACACCCCUCACGAACACACCUACUGUUUAAACAACCAAGAAACAUCCCGUUUGAAGUUCUCCGGAACCGUUCUGUCACUCUCGAAAACUCUCACCCACUCCCUCGUUAAUUUACGGCUGCCAGAGAUCGGAGUUCCAGAAACCUUGAGUCGCCGGAACCUUCAAGACUUCGCCGGAGAACGGAGAAGACGACCGGAGACCCACGACGUUCGUUUACGUGUUCGUGUGUUCGACAUUGGAGACCUUCGCUGGAACUGGGUUCGCAUCGGGCUUAACUGUUUGGCCACGUUUCGCGUCUGUCUCUUUUCCACUCAAUAAACGUUGCACCUACAAGACGAAGCCAAGGCCGGAACUCAUACCAUCGGUGUAGACUCACUCGCUUUGUGUUCGGUUAACCGUUUCGUUCGUUCGACUUUCCAAUCUUACUCGUGCGUACUUACAAGAAAUCACAACGCAACCAAUGUUGAGGAUGAUGAUGCUAUGAAAUGAAGUAGCGUUGAUGCCUAGAAACACAUAUAGACG